rnacentral:rRNA from 1 species
GAUGAACGCUAGCGGCAUGCCUUACACAUGCAAGUCGAACGGCAGCACGGGAGCUUGCUCCUGGUGGCGAGUGGCGAACGGGUGAGUAAAGCAUCGGAACGUGCCCUGAAGUGGGGGAUAACGUAGCGAAAGUUACGCUAAUACCGCAUAUUCUGUGAGCAGGAAAGCAGGGGAUCUUCGGACCUUGUGCUUUAGGAGCGGCCGAUGUCGGAUUAGCUAGUUGGUGAGGUAAAGGCUCACCAAGGCGACGAUCCGUAGCGGGUCUGAGAGGAUGAUCCGCCACACUGGGACUGAGACACGGCCCAGACUCCUACGGGAGGCAGCAGUGGGGAAUAUUGGACAAUGGGGGCAACCCUGAUCCAGCCAUGCCGCGUGUGUGAAGAAGGCCUCGGUUGUAAGCACUUUGUUGGGUAGAACGGACCGGGUAAGUACCGUACGUGUGGAGUGACGGUACCGGAACGUAAGAAGACACCGGCGUAACUACGUAGCC